GACCACGGCCAUACCACCCUGAACGCGCCUGAUCUCGUCUCAAUCUUGGAAGCUAAGCAGGGUCAGGCUUGGUUAGUACUUGGAUGGGAGACCGCCUGGGAAUACCAGGUGCUGUAGGCU
rnacentral:rRNA from 1 species